UAUUGUUUGGGUUGAAGAGGCAAUAUCGUCAGAGAGCAAUGCAGACUUGGGACAGGGAGGGAAGUUUUCAUCCUGCAGGGAGUUGAUCUCACCACCACCAAACCCCACUGUAAGUGUGAAGCCGGGCGAUGGGUUCCCCGGAGGGUGCCGAACUCUCGGUGUGGGUAUGCCAGGAGGAGAAGGUGGUGUGCGGCCUGACCAAGAGGACCAGCUGCGCCCAGGUGGUGAGAGCGCUGCUGCGGGAUCACCUCGCCCACGCCGGGGACACCAGGCUGCUGCACGCCCCGCCCCGGGAUUACUGCCUGGCCGAGAAGUGGAGGGGCUUCGAGAGGCUGCUGCCGCCCGCCACCAAGCUGCUCAGGCUCUGGCUGGCCUGGGGCCCGGAGCGGCGCAACGUGCGCUUCGUCCUGGUCAAGUGGGACGCCCGGCUGCCGCUGCCGGGCCUCCGCAGCGCCGAGGCCAAGGUGGUGCCCAGCAGCAACGGCCAGCCGGCAGAGAGGCGCCCGGCCGCCCGCUCCGUGCGGGACCUGCCGCGGGACAAGCAGAGGAGGAUGGUGAGGAAGGCCUUCAGGAAGCUGGCCAAGAUGAAGCGGCUGAGGCAGGGCCGGGAGCGCAUAGAGACCCUGGCGCACCUGAUCGUCUCGCAGGACCACACCAUCCGCCAGCAGCUGAGCCGGCUGCGGGAGCUGGACGGCGACAUCGAGCGGUUCGAGGGCCGCCUGCACUCGGAGCGGGUGCAGAGCGACGGCCAGAACUACGUGCAGGAGACCUACCUGGUGGAGGGCGGGCAGCUCCAGGAGUACCUCGAGAGGAGCGAGGCGGUUGGCCGGCUCGAGGAGGAGCUCGAGCGGCGCCGCGACACCGUCCAGAGGCUGAGCGAGGAGCUCGAGCUCGAGCAACUGUGGCACGCCGACAGCGGCCCCGAGCGGCCGGAGGAGGAGGAGGGCGGCGGCGAGGACGACGCCGACGACCUCAGGCUGCAGGGCGAGUUGGAGAGGAGCGCGUGGCGCGCGCGGCAGCUCGGCCGGAGUCUCGCGGACGUGCAGCAGAGGCUGCAGCAGCAAGAAGCUGAGCUGCGCGAGAAGGCGGAGGAAUACGAGCGCCUCGCGCGGCAGCUGGAGCGCCUGAGCCUCGAGGAGGAGGAGGCGGCGGCAGUUGUGGCGGAGGAUAGCGGCGGUGAAGCGCCCGGGCUGUGCCAGGGCUCAGCCGAGGGACUCGUCAAAUGUCCGCCUGGGAGCGGCUUCGCCUCUUCGGAGGUGAACGACACCGACUCGGACACGGGGAUCAGCUCCACCCACAGCCAGGACUCCGAACCGCCCUGUGUCGGAGUGUUUCCCACCCCGCAAAACUAUCUCUGAAUUGUCCUGUGGUUAGAUUCUGUUACCUCAUGAAUGCACCUGGAGGGACAGUAAUACUCCUGGGACACGACGCGUGAAAGCUCCUGCAUAUCCUUUAGAUAUUAGUACCUUUUCCUGGAUGAGCUGCAACCAACAUUAAAGAGCCCCACUAAUCUUUCAAGAAUGCAGAGGAGCAGCCACACAAUGGACUCAAGUAUUCUGCUGGACAUCUAACCUGUUUUCGGGUUCCAGUCAGCAAGGUUGUCUGAGGUGGAGCAUAAACCCAAGACUGUGACUGAUAGACAACAACACUGCCACUGCAGCAGUGAAUCUGGAUGAUAGUGUUGCAAUUGAAGUCAGCAUUUUAUUUGGAUGUCAUGUUCUAGUCUCCACUGGCCAGGCUUGAAUUGAAUAGCAGUCAAAUCUUUCAGUUUUACUUUGGAACCAUGCUUCUGUUAGUCAAAGACUCAAUUCUCCAAAUUGUGAGUAAUUAUUCAGAUUUUCUAUAUAUACUGAUAUAAAAGUGAUCAUAUGUUUUAGAUGUCAGCAUUGCUGUUAAAAAAACAGCAUUUAUUUCCCAUCCUUAAUUGCCUAUGAACGAAAGUGGUACUGAGCCACUUUCUUGACAAUGACGUACCAGGUCAUUUUAAAGGACAAUGAAGAACCAAACAUCCUGCAGUGGUAUUGGGUCACAUGUAGACCAUACCAAGAAUGAAGAGUAGAUUUCCUAAAAUACAUUAAUGAGCCAUGGGUUGCUAUGCUAAUCCAAUUAUUUUCAGGUGCUAUCUUAUCCUAAGUUUAUUUAAUUGCGUUUAAAUCCCCAGCUGUAUAUUUGGCUGCAAAAAAUUAGCCUGACAGUUUGUUUGAAGUUGAUCAAUCUUCUGAUAUGUUUAACGAUACUAGUUCCCUGGCCCUUAAGAGCUCAGUAGAAAGAUUGAUGGUUCAACAAUGCUAAGUUAGGUAUUUAAUGUCCUUCAGUACAUGUGUAAGGGUGUGUUUUGCAGAUUUAGCUUAAAAUGUAGUUAACAACAUAAAUUAAGCAAAUGAAAUUUGUUUCAUUUGCCUUACUUUGUGCAAUCUACAGCCUGUGAAAGUUGAAGUUCAGUAUCAUAUAAUGGUUAAAAACAAAAUACUAGGGAUGCUGGACGUCUGAAAUAAAAACAGAGAAUGCCAAAGGCACUUAGCAGGCAUGGCAUCACAUGGAGAGAGAAAUGGUGUACAUUUUGAGUCCAAAGACUCCUCUUCCAUUCCAGAGGAGAAUCUUUGAACUCAAAAUGUUGGCUCUGUUUCUCUCUCCACAGACGCUGCCAGACCUGCUGAGUUUCUUGAUCAUUUUGUAUUUACUUCACAUGAAGAUUACUUGCAUUAUACUUAUGCUUUCAGUGUUGCACUGUUUGGCCUUCACUUACAUGUCUCAAUUUAACAAAAAAAAACUACACCAGCAACCUUUGUGACUGAUAUUACUGCACUAAAAGUCACCUUAUUAUUAAUUGUCAAAAAUAUAGAGCUCACAUUAUGAAUCAGAUCAAUACAGGUCUCCUUUGUCAAUGGCUGAUUGACAUUUAUCUUAACAACCUAAUUUCACCAACUAUUUUCAGGAAACAGCAUGUUGUAAGUAUGGUGUUAGAAAAUGCAAGGAGAACAUAAACUAGCAAAUUACAGUAAAUGCGAUUUUAAAAAUGUUGUCAGUUUUCAUAACUGCAUUAACUGAACCGUUAAGUUACUCCCCAUCUGUAUUGUACAAUAGGAAGAAUGCAUUGUUUAUUUUUCAUUGGCCUCCUGGUUUACUUCCAAAUAAUUGUGCAUGAGAUGUGCCAAAUAAUUUAAAGGAAGGUUCUGUUGAAUCAGUGGUGAUGCAACAGUCAAGUCUACAGAGUGUUUUCCACAUUGGAGAUGAUAAAUCAUAUAUUCAACCAUACACUUGAGUUCUUUUUUAUGAUCUCUUUCUACUCGAGAUGAAAUUUUGUCAUACUUAAUAAUUGUGGUUUAUGAAAAUUUUCAGCGCAACAAUUAACAUAGAUGGCCAGUGUGUUCUGGUAUGUCUCAACUUAUUUGGUCUUGAUUGUCAAUAAAUCAUUUUCGAGAAUAACAUGGCAAAAAUCCAACGUGGCAAAAAUCCAAUGUGACAACAUAAGGUUUAAAUAAGCUUCAUAUGCAAUGGACUUCAAAGAGAUGGAAUGUGCAUUGUACGUGUCAAAUAGGUUUUUCAGUCAUGUCACAAAGAACAAACGAUAGCAAAUUCCAGAAUGUCUAUUGUACUAGCUUGUUACUAGUGCUUGUUCUUCCAGUUGACAUGAAACUUGCACUUCAAAUGCAUAUUUGAAUUUUGAAUUUUUCUAUAAUGUACAGCUGGGUAAGCCUGAAUUUUGAUCAAAUUAUUGUGCAUUAAACUUAAAAUGAUAAUUAUCUUUUUUCAAAAUCAAAAGUUUAUUACCCCAACCCUAAAGUUUCUUUAACAAAUUUCUGUUUCAUCUUAACAACUUCCUGCACUUAAUAUAUUUGCUCAUUGAUAUGUUGCAGAAAAAGUAAUAAGAAAUUGAUCAUCUAGCUUCAUACUCUGUUGGCACAGAAUAAGAUAACAAAUAAUAAAAGAUAAUAAAAUGGAACGGUCAUUAAUGAUGUUCACAAUAUAUUU